AGCAGCACGCCGCGUGGAGGAUGACACUUUUCGGAGCGUAAACUCCUUUUGUUAGGGAAGAACAAUGACGGUACCUAACGAAUAAGCACCGGCUAACUCCGUGCCAGCAGCCGCGGUAAUACGGAGGGUGCAAGCGUUACUCGGAAUCACUGGGCGUAAAGGACGCGUAGGCGGAUUAUCAAGUCUCUUGUGAAAUCCUAUGGCUUAACCAUAGAACUGCUUGGGAAACUGAUAAUCUAGAGUGAGGGAGAGGCAGAUGGAAUUGGUGGUGUAGGGGUAAAAUCCGUAGAGAUCACCAGGAAUACCCAUUGCGAAGGCGAUCUGCUGGAACUCAACUGACGCUAAUGCGUGAAAGCGUGGGGAGCAAACA
rnacentral:rRNA from 1 species